CAAACUCCGAAUACCGAGAAGUGCGAGCGUGGGAGACAGACAGUCGGGUGCUAACGUCCCGGUGUCAAGAGGGAAACAACCCAGACCGCCAGCUAAGGUCCCAAAUGACGUGCUAAGUGGUAAAACGAAGUGGGAAGGCAUAGACAGCCAGGAUGUUGGCUUAGAAGCAGCCAUCAUUUAAAGAAAGCGUAAUAGCUCACUGGUCGAGUCGUCCUGCGCGGAAGAUGUAACGGGGCUAAGCACGUAACCGAAGCUGCGGAUCUACAGUUUACUGUAGGUGGUAGGAGAGCGUUCUGUAAGCCUGUGAAGGUGUCUUGAGAAGGAUGCUGGAGGUAUCAGAAGUGCGAAUGCUGACAUGAGUAGCGAUAAACAAGGUGAAAGUCCUUGUCGCCGAAAACCCAAGGUUUCCUACGCAACGUUCAUCGGCGUAGGGUGAGUCGGCCCCUAAGGCGAGGCAGAAAUGCGUAGUCGAUGGGAAACAGGUUAAUAUUCCUGUACCGAUUUGGAAUGCGAUGGGGGAA
rnacentral:rRNA from 1 species